UUUCUGGAGAAUCAAAUAACAGAGAAUCAGCUGAUUUCAAUGCCAAACAAACAAACAAAUGCCACGGAGUGUGGGCGGCAGUUUUCUCCGCGGCCUAAUCGGUGUGGUUGCGGCUGGGUAGUUUUGAAGACUUUGUUAUUAAAUUCCAGUAUUUCUAAGAAGCCAUAGCCGUCGCUCGACCGCCGGACAUUCGUCGUGCAGGAUUCGUUGCAAGUUGCAGUUGUAGACGCCAGUUGCAUAAGCCGCCUUCUCCGCCGAAGGGAUACACCGUCGCGUGUACCGCGGCUGUAAAUCGAUUCAGGGAAUAUCGACAUACUACCGGAUACAUCGUACAUCAUGACGCAGCAGUUCUUCUUCCGUCAGUUAUUUGACCGUGAGAGUUGCACCUACACCUACCUACUGGCCGACCCGUGCUCCAAAGAGGCCGUUCUCAUCGAUCCAGUAAUCGAACUCUCCGAUCGAGAUGCCACUCUUGUCAAAGAUCUCGGUCUGAAACUCGUCUAUGUCAUCAACACUCACAUGCACGCCGACCACAUAACCGGCACUGGCCGUCUGAAGCGACUCGUCCCCGGCUGUCGGUCGGUCAUCUCGGCCACAUCGGGUGCCGAGGCCGACAUUAAACUGGCUGACGGUGAUAAGGUCAAGUUUGGAGCGCUCGAACUGGAGGUGCGAGCUACACCCGGACACACGGAAGGCUGUGUCACAUACGUGCUCCACUCCCAGAGGAUGUGUUUCACCGGAGACGCUCUUCUUAUCCGCGGCUGUGGUAGAACUGACUUCCAGGGCGGCUCCAGUGACACCCUGUAUGACUCGGUCCACGGCCGGAUCUUCUCACUGCCAGAAGACUACACCGUCUAUCCGGCUCACGAUUAUAAAGGUCAAACAGCCACCACCGUCGGCGAAGAGAAGCGCUACAACCCGCGUCUGACACGCAACAAACAGGAAUUUAACGCUAUUAUGGCUGGUCUGAACCUCGCCUACCCGAAGAAGAUAGAUGUGGCGCUCCCCGCGAACAAAGUGUGCGGGCUACAUAACAUUCCCGAGGAGGUGGCCGCCAUGCUGGGGGAUGCGAAGUAGACCAGCGUCCUCACCUAAGCUCCGCCACGGCGCCUGUUCGUCAUCCUCUGCACCAACAUCUCCCGCCGGUUCUUCUCUGCCCUCCUCUUCCUCCGCGCCUGCCACCCGCGCCG
rnacentral:misc_RNA from 1 species